GAUAACAUCGUGAAUAAUCGUGAAAAUUGGAAUUAUACAUAGAAGAUUACCAUGGUCUCUUGCGCAAGGAUGACACGCAUAAAUCGAGAAUUGUUCUAAUCUUUU